UUUUGCCUACGGGACGCAGCAGUGGGGAAUAUUGGGCAAUGGGCGCAAGCCUGACCCAGCAACGCCGCGUGACGGAAGAAGGCCCUCGGGUUGUAAACUUCCUUUAUCAAGGACGAAACAAAUGACGGUACUUGGUGAAUAAGCCACGGCUAACUACGUGCCAGCAGCCGCGGUAAUACGUAGGUGGCAAGCGUUAUCCGGAUUUACUGGGUGUAAAGGGCGUGUAGGCGGG
rnacentral:rRNA from 1 species